CACAAAUCACUAUCAAUUGUUCAAACUCCCGUGCAUACAAGUUGAUUGAUAUAUUUGAACUAAUCGUUUGUUUACGUGAUUGAUUCAGGUGAUUCAAGGUAAUUCAGAAGUUCAAACCAUGGCUGAGGAAUUCUAUGUGACAACCCGUAAUUUCGAGGACCUUAGGUACAUAUGGAGCUUGCACAGGAGGCACAGUCGUUGUGGGAUAAGGAUCGUGGAUGUUAUUCUAAACACUUGAACUUUAUUUUGGGUUUUCAUAUUAUGCUUCCGCUACUUAAUCAAAGUUUGGUUUGAACAUCAAUUGUAUUGAAUUGGGUUUUGCGAACUACUUAAAUUAUUAUUCACUA